GCGGUAGUAAUACAACGGUAGUAUGCGCGCUUCCCAAGCCCGAUACGCGGGUCCGACUCCCGUCUACCGCU
rnacentral:tRNA from 1 species